AUGCCCACUGAUUAUAAAAAGACGCGUUAUUCUGAGGAACACAACCUGCUACCAGUCUCUCUAUCUACCAUUCUGCCUAUUCUACUCUAUCUUUCACCUCGUCCAUCUUUCCUGUCCUUCCUCCACCCCUUCUCCUCUUUUCUUUAAACUGGUAGCUGGUCCGCUGACUGCGAUUAUGAGAUAUGAGGGCAU